rnacentral:rRNA from 1 species
UGAAAGGCUAAUCAAACUUGGAGAUAGCUCGUACUCCCCGAAAUGCAUUUAGGUGCAGCCUUGCGGGUUACUGAUGUGAGGUAGAGCGACUGAUAAGAUGCGAGGGCUUCACCGCCUAUCAAGUCUUGACAAACUCCGAAUGCGCAUCAGUUCUACCGCAGGAGUGAGGGCAUGGGUGCUAAGGUCCGUGCCCGAGAGGAGAAGAAUCCGGACCACCUGCUAAGGUCCCGAAAUGACAGCUAAGUUAAACUAACGAAGUCUGACUGCUAAGACAGCUAGGAUGUUGGCUUGGAAGCAGCCAUUCAUUUAAAGAGUGCGUAACAGCUCACUAGUCGAGGAGUCGGGCGUGGAUAAUAAUCGGGUAUGAAGUUGUCUACCGAAGCAGUGGGAUCAUUUAUAUGAUCGGUAGGGGAGCAUUCCAGUCAGCGUCGAAGGCGUACCGUGAGGUAUUCUGGAGCGUCUGGAAAAGCAAAUGUAGGUAUAAGUAACGAUAAAGGGGGCGGGAAACCCCCUCGCCGAAAGACUAAGGUUUCCUGAUCAACGCUAAUCGGAUCAGGGUCAGUCGGGUCCUAAGGCUCAGCCGA